rnacentral:lncRNA from 1 species
GGGAACGGUGGUCGCUCGGAGAAAGCUCUUGGACAACACCCAAGAGGACAUUUGGGCUUUGCCCCAAGGAUAAAAUUUAAAGGUGGCCAUGGAGGCAACCAGGAAAGGACUGGAGCAGUCAGGAGGCAGCUGGCUCUUAGGGGGAGAAGCCAGCUCCGGGGCAGUCUAGGUAAGAUGGGGAAGGGGAGGCAGGGAGGCCUCUGCUCCACCUGACUCCGCCAGCCUUGGGAAGCUCGGGGAAUACGGACUUGCCCAGAUGGGAGAGGCAGUUGCCUUGGCCCUGGCGAGCUCCUGCCGUCUCCCCAGCCCUCCUCGGAGGCUGGGCCUGAACUACUAACGAGAUCAAGGAUGGCGCCACUCAGCAGGUGUAAACGGGCUGAGUUAGGGAGCCCCUCAUUCCCCUCCCGCUGUCCCCACCUGUCCCGUGCCACACCCACCUGCUGCUCUCUCCCUCCAUCACUGUAGAGCCUUGCUUUUUAUUUAUUUAUUUGAGAGAGAGUCUCGCUCUCUCGCCCAGGCUGGAGUGCAGUGUUGUGAUCUCGGCUCACUGCGACCUCUGCCUCCCAGGUUCAAUCAAUUCUCCUGAGAAUGGCUUGAACCUCGGAGGCGGAGGUUGCAGUGAGCCAAGAUCGUGCCACUGCACUCCAGCCUGGGUGACAGAGCAAGACUCCGUCUCCAAAAAAAAAAAAAAAGAAAUGUCUUCCUACAGUUAGUCAUUCCUUUAGCCAGGAAAUGUUUAUGGAGUCCCUGUGACGUGUCAGGUGUUGGACCAGACACUGCUGAGACAGGGAUGAGCAACACAGACAUGAUCCCUGCCCUCGAGGGUAUCCAGUCUAGUGGGCGUUAUCAAAUGAUCACGCCUGUCAUUGCAGGCGGAAUGGGGUGUCGGAGAGGUCAACGAGGAGUAGCCAGAUAAAGUCUCCCCAAGGAAGCGACCUGUGGGUUGAAAUCUGAAAGGUUAUAGCAGCCUAAUUAGGUGACGGGGAAGCAUUCCAGGUGAGGUAAGCGCAGGUGUGAAGAGACGCUUUGACGUGGGAAGGAGCAACGAAGAAGCUGGGUGAAGGCGGCAGACAGGAGCCAGGUUUGGCCAGGCUUUUGUCUAAUCAAGUUGACUGUCUUUAGCUGUGAGGGUUGCCCCUUUAGACUUUGCUUCCUUAGAGGACUUACCCUCGUUGUUUCUUCAAGGCUGGCCAAGCCUUCCAGUGACCUCCUGACUGCCCAUCAGGGCCCCCAUGCUCAGAAAAGCCAGAGAUCCCGUGACAGCUUCCAGACAGUGUCACACUCUUCCAGUUUCCUUGCUUUUUGCGCAGCCCCCAGCUCCCACCGUUUUUCUGCAUAAUCUUGGUGCAAGAGUGGGAGGCUCAUUAAUCUGAUGGAAACUGGCUUUUAAAUGGGGAGAAGUGAAGCAGGAACUGGAGCUCCUUUCAGACUUGGGAAAGCCCUUCUCCCUGGGCACUGGUUGCCUCACUGGGAAGCUGAGAGUGCCAGCCUCUGGAGCUCCUUUCUGUUCUGAUAUUCCAGGAGCACGUGAAUUGCCUCUGCUUAUGUUCAGGCCCCAUCCUAAACCCAGCCGUCCGGCACUGAGCGAUCCCAGGCCUUUGGGAAUGCCAUGAUGCUGCCCAAUGGGAAAUUUGUACACUGGGUGCUAUCCAUGUCACAUCACGGGGACCAGCCAUGAAAGAGCAAAGUGACCUCCACGUCUGAUGCUGGGGUCAUCAGGACAGACCCAUCAUGGCUGUCUUUUUGCCCCACCCCCUGCCGUCAGUUCUUCCUGUCUCCGGGGCUGGCUUCCCGCACUAGGGAACGGGUUGUAAGUGGGGAACACGACUUCCUUCCAGAGUCCUUGAGCACCUCAGCUAAGGACCACAGUGCCCCGUAGAGCUCCUAGAUUACCUCACUUGGAACGGCAUUGCGCAUGUCUGGAGAAGGGCUCCAUUUGGUUCCGCCCCACUCCCCUCUCCAAGUGCCGCAACUUCCCUCAGAGCAUCCUCUCCAGUGGAUCCAAGAACACUCUCUCCUAGAGACACCACCUUCCUGCCAGCUGUUUGCCCUUAGGCCAGUACACAGAAUGAGUGGGGGAGAUGGCAGACGCUUUCUGGCACCUGCCCAAUACAUGUAUUCUCCGACACUCUUAUUUGGUCAUAAAACAAUAAACGGUAUCAAUUUCA